ACCAGGAUUUCCUCACCUUCGGUGAAAGUCAAGUCGCCAGGCUCAGAGCUUGAAUACGAAUACAGUGCAACAUACUCCUCUCCUGCUGGGUAGGGCUGUGCACUGGACUUCUUCUUUACUGCUGCAUAAAUAGCUUCUGGUUCCUCUUUCUUCUCACUUCCAGGUAAGAGCUUGACGUACGACUUGGGAAACCAACCCCUUCCUCCAUGCACCUCCCC
rnacentral:lncRNA from 1 species